rfam:Angiostrongylus costaricensis strain Costa Rica genome assembly, scaffold: ACOC_contig0002979
GGCCCUGUGGCCUUAUGGAUAAGGCGUCGGUCUCCAAAACCGAAUAUUCAAGGUUCGAUUCCUUACUGGGUCG